rnacentral:tRNA from 1 species
CGGGAUAUAGCGCAGUUUGGUAGCGCACCUCGCUUGGGACGAGGGGGUCGCAGGUUCGAAUCCUGCUAUCCCGACCA